rnacentral:lncRNA from 1 species
AGUUCAAUUCCCAGCAACCUCAUGGUGGCUCACUGCCAUCCGUUAUGAGAUUUGGUGCCCUCUUUUGAUGUGCAGAUAUACCUGGAAGCAGAAUGCUGUAUAUAUAAUAAAUAAAUAAAAUCUUUAAAAAAAGAAAAUGUCAUACAAAAGAAAGAAAGAAAAGAAAAAACAGAAUCUGAGUUCUUGCCUAAAUUACCUGUAUAAUCUCCGGCAUGAGUCUAAGACACCUUGCUUUUCUGGCAUCAACCUCUUACCUCCAUGUGCAUUACCACACACAUGCACCCACACACAUGUGAAGAUGCUCGAACAUGACCCUGCACACCCCUAAAAACUUUUACAACACGACUUUUCUAUGUAGCCUAGUGUGGCCUUAAAUUUACAGUGAUCCUCCUAAGGACUGGGGUUACAAGUACUGUUGGUUUCCCCACACACACCACCCCAAUUAAAUGCACCCUUCCAACUCUGAAAAUUUACCUUACCCCGGGGAAUUAAAGUUCUUUUUGUCUAGUCUUGAACCCUACUUUGCCUGCUUUUGUCUGGGAGCCUUUUAAAAAUAAGAUUUACUUUUUAUUUUACGUGUAUGAGUGUUUUGUCUGCAUCUAUGUAUGUGUGUGUAUCAAGUGUACCUGCCAACUGAGGGCGGCGGAAGAAGGUGCUAGAUGCAUUGGAACUGGAGUUACAAAUGAUUGUGAGCCACCAUGUGGGUGCUGGAAGCCCAGUCCUCUGGAAGAGCAGUCAGAACUCUGCAUCUUUCUGUGGCUGUUUCCUCCUCACCUCCCUAGGUUAAGAGGGAUUUCUAUCAGAGCACAUUUCUAUUGUUUGACAGACAUCUUUUCUUUUCUUUUUCUUUCUUUCCUUUUUUUUUUUUUUCUUCGAGACAGGGUUUCUUUGUGUAGCUUUUGGAGCCUAUCCUGGCACUUGCUCUGGAGACCAGGCUGGCCUUGAACUCACAGAGAUCCGCCUGCCUCUGCCUCCCGAGUGCUGGGAUUAAAGGUGUGCGCCACCGACGCCUGGCGAAAGACACCUUUUCUUUCCUCUGCUAUGAACUGUGGACUCCCAGCAGGGUGUCUUCCAGCUUCUGUGUCUCCAUGGAUAGCCAAAGCUCAUUGAAUUGAAUAGCCUCAUUGCUAGGAAAGUCGGCUCACCCUAGCUUCAGUAUUAAGUUCAUUUAUUUACUGGACUCCACUUCUGUCCCUUAGAUCCAGGUUUAAAUAAUCCUGAAAGCUGUGUGCAGUGACUAGGCAGUUCUCCUGGACAUCCUUCUCCCAUGUCACCCUCGGCAACAGAAAUCUUGGGCCUGGCUUCAUUCUCCAGCAUCUUCUCUUGGAGCUGUCCCUGAUUUUGUUACCGGUUUUCAUCUGAAUCCACUGAGGAAUAUGAUGAUUUUGCUUUUGGUUCUUGACCACGAAUCUCUUGGUUCUGAAAGUCUUUU